rnacentral:misc_RNA from 1 species
UCCAACCACGUCGCGCGCGCGCACGUCGGCACAGCAGACACCACGAGAGAAGGAGUGGUGGUUCACCAAGGCGAGGCGCGCACCCUCAAAUGCGCGCAGUGGCCCCAGCACGCACGGAAUAGCGCACGUCAACGAUAUCAACGCUCUGCUGAGCUACGCGGUCGAGUGGCGGGGCGCGAUAGAAGCGCCUCCCCACUCCCUCUUGCCAGUCCUCGUCAUGAGCGCCAGCGGUAGCCUUGAAAAACUGCUGCCUUCUCUCUAUGAGUUCCUCUCCGUCCAUCCGUCAGAUGCGUGCGCGCCGUCCUCAGCUGCGCCGACGCAGAGAUCCGGUGCCGGCCUCUACCCUGGUGGCAGCAGUGGCAGCCGUCACACCAAUGUCACGAGUCCCUCAGCCAUCUGCGCUUCCUCGAUCGGCCCUGAACUCUCAUGCGCGUCUCCGGACGUCGUCGCGGAGAGCUAUGCGCGCUGGCGGCGGUGCAUCACCGUGUGGCGAAGGGUGAUCGGCAAUGACAGCGUGUUUCUUACCGUGCUUCUGCACGCGGGUUGUCUGUGGUGCCCCAACUACACAGCGCUUCAUCGAGCGAGGCGCGACAUCGCCACGCGGGCCGAGCAACAGCGGCGGCUUGCACAAGCUGCCUCUGUCUCGGGUGGCGACGUGCUUGCCUUUGAGGCUGGCAAUGCAGCGGCAGCAGCAAGUGAGCAAGGCGGCAACGUGAUGCUGCGCUGGGCGACACCCACUGCCGAUGCACCACGCAGCACCCCUGUCAAGCGACGCGGCAAGCGCGGCGGCAAGGCGGCAGCAGAGGCAGCUGCGCACUCCGUUCGCGCCCUGGCAGCAGCAGCUGAAUCGCAUGCGGAGCUGGCAGCCGUGUGCCCCGCGAGUGUCUGGGCGCUGCAUGUGCUGCACUUCUUGAGGGUGGAGGAAGUGUACGCUGUGCCCUGCAGCAGCACAGCGAAGUCGGAGCGGCAAGGGGCUACGACAAGGACGAACUCCGCGCCUUCCUCAUGCGCGUCGUGGUCCCCCGAUGGCGAUAGCGGCGACUCUAGUGAGAACGAGCUCAGUAUCACGAGCUGCAGCAGUCGCAUCAGCCGAAGCGGUAGUCACGACUCCCACAGCAGCGUAGAGAGCGAGCGGGCAGUCGGCGAUCAGACAAGUGACGCGGCGGAGGGUCGCAUUGUGAGCGUGCGGAGGUCGGCGGUUGGCCGAGGGUCGUGUGGCGGGCGGAGCGGAGGCGGUCGCGGCGGCAAGCAGAGAGGCGUAAAGCGGCAGCGUGGGGCAGAGCGAGAGAAGCGCAGUGGCGCGUCCGGUAGGAAUGAUAGCCACAAGAAGCGGCGCCGCCCCGACGGGGAUCCAGCUCGCGAGGCACGCUCGCCAUGCAGUGCGUCCCGGAUGCAAUGGGCGACGUCCUCCUCACUGCUUCCUAAGCUGUCGAACAAGGAGAGCGGGGGUGGUGGUGUCAAGCACCUCGGCAGCACACUCGCGGCGGUGUUAUCUGUGCUGCAGCAGCAGGAGCAGCACCGCGCCUCUGCUCGCCGCCGUGACGGAUCAGCGGACGACGGCGCCGAGGGCGGGGAUGAGGAGAUGCGGCACGGUAAUUCAAAGGAUUUUGGUACGACAGGGUGCAGCACCCGUGACAGCGGCAACGGGGCCCUCAAUGCGGCGUACGCGACGGCUGCGCAAAAGCAUGCGCUGCUGUUGCGCGCCACCAUCACCCUCGUAAGCGAGGAGGAGCCCCUGGUUCAGAAGGUGGCAACGGCGCUUGUGAACGAGUGGCUUGAUCUUGUGUCCGUGCAAGCGCCCACUCCCCAGUCACGCGGGACAGCCGCAGACGCGCCAACGACAGUGAAGGACGAGGAGACUGCUUUCUCUGACAGCAGCGCCAUUCUUGGUACCGUUGGCGGUGCUCGCAGCGCGCGACGCCGGAGGACGGCACUCACCGGCUCACGGUCCUCUUCGUGCACCGACACGCCCGAGCAGGCGCUCCGUCACCGCCGCGUAUGCGAUGCACGCCACUACUGGCUCUCUUGUGUGCUGAAGAUGGUGGCGUACCUCGACGGUGUUCACUCCGCUCUUCGCGAAGAGAACACUCACAUUGGCGCCGUCCUCGCUCGCCAGGGCAUCGCGCCGCAGGACGCAGAGGACACCUUCACCAAGUCGCUGCCGGCGAUCGUCAACUGUGCGCUCGUGGAAGAGGUUUUGCACAGCGCAGCUGCCGGGUUGCCGGCCUCGCAGGCACGCGCCUUCUCGGCGUGGGCAGCACCGUCCUUGUUAGCAUCUGCUCGCGCAGCUUCGACCGCACGCUUGUGGAUGCCGCCUCCAGUGCUGCUGCUUCCCUUCCACUUGAUCGGGCGAGGGUCAGUCUUUGGAGUGUGGCUGCCUCCCAGCGCGGCGUCGGCCGGCGGGUCGACUGGCCACCCACCGGCGGCCCGCACCCCCACCCGUGCGCAGGGCUGCUUUGUGCCCUGCGUCGUCGACUCGCACGGACUGCAUCUCGGGAUGGAGCCGCUCUGCGGAUGCGGCACACACGAGCCGGCGAGCAAGCCCGGCGGUGAAGAGCACGGCGCUGGUGUGGCGGCGCUGCAAGCAUGGAAGCGAGAGCCUGUGGGUGUGAGUGCACAGGAGGCGGCAUCGCGCCCUUUCCAUCCCGAGCGCUCACCGAGGCACCGCCGGCUGGGCUUCGCGGUGCGUUGUGCGGAAUCCGAAUCGCUGCUCGAGAGGCGUUACCUCGCCUCGCUCGAGCACCUGCUUCCCAUCCUCCGUGUGCCCGACGUGGCGAGCCAGCUUGCCACUGACGGCGGCCUCCGAAGCGAUCAGCCGGAGCGGCAGCCCUCGCUGCGGUGGUGGCCGUGCAUGCUGAGCGAGACGGCCGGUAGCCCGCGCAUGGACGUUUACGUCGCGCGCACGCUGCUGAUGCUUCCGAUACCGGCUCAGAGCACGCUGGACAGCUCCACGGACCAUGCAGCGAGUGCAACGAGGGUCGACUCUGGGGCUAGAGCUGGCGCAUGCACCUUAGAUGGAGCGCACCACGCGGAGACGCGCACAAAAAACCUGUCGGGCGUGCUGGCGUCCUCAUCGGCAGCUGUCGGAGCUGGCAAGCGGCCCCGGGGCAGCUUCACCCGGGGGUUGACGAGGUCUGCAGAGGAGCAGGCAGUGCGGCAUCAGCACCCACUGCUGUACCACGCGAUGCGGGCACACCUGCGCGCAGACAAAGUCUUGUAUAAGGCGUGCAGUGACGUCUCUGAGAAUGGCGUUGCGGAGCUGGUGCUGCUUUACGGCGAUCCGCGCGGUGAGGAGGCGACGGCGCUGCGUCAGAUGGGCUUCACGGUGCACACUGGCAGUCACCAGAGGUUAGGCCGUAGCGGCGCCGCCUUUGCCAGACGCACGGGGUCAUCUGCUGUGUCGUCCGUGACAGGGCUGAGCGGUGGUGCCAGUGGAGGUAGCGGACGCCUCACCUUGGCCAGAGACGCACUUGGCACCACGCUCGAGGGCAUGUACCUGGUCGCCCGCCGUGUGCUGGGGCUGCAGGGACUCUUUGUAUCCUCCGCGUCUGCCUUCACGACGCCAGCAACAGCGGCACCGGCGGAGGCGCGCGUCGGCGGUAAGGGGUGCCCCUCCACCACUGGCGCUGCCGCAUUUGAGGAUGAAGGGGGCCCGUGUGAUUUGGCCAAGGGCACCGCAGCCACGAGUGUGGCUGCCUUUCCGGUCUGUGCACAGACGGAAAGGGAAGCGCUUGGCACCGUGGCGGCGACGCUCGCCCUCACGUGUCUUGUGCUCAGCCACAGUCUGCUCGACGAUUUGCUGGAGCAGCCGUCCGUCGUACUGUUAACAACGGAGCUGGCGUCGUUUGUGCUCGACGUGUCGCUGUUGAUGCCGCGGCCUGUCCCUCGGCUGCUGAAGGCCGACGGGUUCGCUCUGGCACUUCUACUGCAGCCAGCACAGUCGCUGCUGCUGAUGGUGGGCCUGGCAGCGACGCUGGUGACGCGUGAGGUGCACAUGGUCGCUGCAUCCCAUCGAGGCGGCGAAGCGGGCAGUGGCAGCGGUGGCGGGAGGGGGCGAGGCGCCGGCGGCACGUCAUCGGCGUCGAAGUCCGUGGCACAGCAGUGGCAUCCGUGGUGGUCCGCCUUCCGCGCGGCAGUGCUACGGGACACCGAGCUGCCAAGCUGCCUGUACAGCGGCAUCUGGCCCAUCGUGGAGAGCGCCGAAGGCUCCCUUGCCACCUUCGCGGCCGAGGUGCGGCGGGGCACCUCUAGCAAUCGCCAAGCAGAUGAUGGCAAGCGCAGCCAUCCUUCUCCGGUGGUGGGCAGCGACGGAAGAGACGACGACGUGGUGGCGGGAGCACCGGCACACGUGUCCGCCCGCGGUGGCGCAGGAAGCGGGAGGCGGAUCCUUUCUCUUUCCGUGCCAUCCCCGCCCGUGGCUGCAGAUCGCCAUCUCCUCGCGGAUGUGCAGGACACCCCAUCGUCGAAAAGCAGUGACGCUACGCCUUGUCGAAGCAGCGUCGAUGGGGCCACCCCCUAUGGGCGCCGCCUCCUCUUGAAGGCGCCUCCAGCAAGCGGCGUGGCUGGGCAGCUCUCUGCAAAGGCAGCAGUGAACCGCAAGGACCAUGCGACAGCGUGCGGGGCAGGCGGCGUCGUGUCGGCGAGUCAGUCUUACACGCCCCGCCGACUCUGCGGGCACGCCGUUCUUUGCCAAGACGAUGGCAUCUGCAGUGCGGGCACCGAGACGAGCGACGCCCACGCCACUGCAAGCGCCUUGCUGUUUGCCGAAGGGGUGUGCGUUGUGUCUGACAACGCAACGGCGCCGCUCGGCGCGAGCUCCGUCCACGCAAAGGUCGCCGCCCCUAUCGCGCGUACGCUCUCGCUGUCCUUGACUAGAGCAACGCUGCUGCCUCGGCUAACCUCUGCCGUAGCCUCGACUUUGUGGGCAUCACUGGAGGCGGAGGAGAUGCACUGGCCCGCCGGCGCUGCAUAGCACCAUGGCAGACGACGGCGCCACCCUUUGCGCGUUGUGGAUAACGGGUGCGGGGCGUCUUCCAGUGCCCCUCACUACCACCCCUCCUCUCCGUGUUUCUCUCUUCUACGUCUAUGCACGACUAU